rnacentral:rRNA from 1 species
UACGUAGGGGGCAAGCGUUGUCCGGAUUUAUUGGGCGUAAAGAGCGUGUAGGCGGCUUUACAGGUCCGUUGUGAAAACUCGAGGCUCAACCUCGAGACGCCGGUGGAAACCGUAAAGCUAGAGUCCGGAAGAGGAGAGUGGAAUUCCUGGUGUAGCGGUGAAAUGCGCAGAUAUCAGGAGGAACACCCGUGGCGAAAGCGGCUCUCUGGGACGGUACUGACGCUGAGACGCGAAAGCGUGGGGAGCAAACCGG